rnacentral:snoRNA from 1 species
CUAAAUUCUUUGAUGAUUUGAAAAUGCAUAGUUCACGCUGAGCUUAUUAUGCUGAUCCUUAUUCAUUGAUUUGCACGUCAGUCUGAGAGUUUGG